CCUACGGGAGGCAGCAGUGGGGAAUAUUGCACAAUGGGGGAAACCCUGAUGCAGCGACGCCGCGUGAGCGAUGAAGUAUUUCGGUAUGUAAAGCUCUAUCAGCAGGGAAGAAGAUGACGGUACCUGACUAAGAAGCCCCGGCUAACUACGUGCCAGCAGCCGCGGUAAUACGGAGGGGGCCAGCGUUAUCCGGAUUUACGGGGUGUAAAGGGAGCGUAGACGGCGAUGCAAGCCAGAUGUGAAAGCCCGGGGCUCAACCCCGGGACUGCAUUUGGAACUGUGUGGCUGGAGUGUCGGAGAGGCAGGCGGAAUUCCUAGUGUAGCGGUGAAAUGCGUAGAUAUUAGGAGGAACACCAGUGGCGAAGGCAGCCUGCUGGACGAUGACUGACAUUGAGGCUCGAAAGCGUGGGGAGCAAACAGGAUUAGAUACCCCUGUAGUC
rnacentral:rRNA from 1 species